GACGAACGCUGGCGGCGUGCUUAACACAUGCAAGUCGAGCGGUAAGGCCCUUUCGGGGGUACACGAGCGGCGAACGGGUGAGUAACACGUGGGUGACCUGCCCUCAGCUCUGGGAUAAGCCCGGGAAACUGGGUCUAAUACUGGAUAUGACUCCAUGACGCAUGUUGUGGGGUGGAAAGCCUUGUGCGGCUGAGGAUGGGCCCGCGGCCUAUCAGCUUGUUGGUGGGGNGAUGGCCUACCAAGGCGACGACGGGUAGCCGGCCUGAGAGGGCGACCGGCCACACUGGGACUGAGAC
rnacentral:rRNA from 1 species